GUGGCGCACGGCUGAGGAACACGUGGAACCCGCCCCCCGGUGGGGGAUAACGCGACGAAAGUCGCUAAUCCCGCAUACGUCCGCAGGGGGAAAGCGCUUCGGCGCGCCGGGGGAGGCGCCUGCGGCCCAUCAGGUCGUUGGUGGGGUAACGGCCUACCAAGCCGAUGGCGGGUAGCUGGUCUGGGAGGAUGACCAGCCAGACUGGGACUGAGACACGGCCCAGACUCCUACGGGAGGCAGCAGCAAGGAAUUUUCGGCAAUGGGGGCAAGCUGACCGAGCAACGCGCGUGCGGGAUGACGGCCUUCGGGUUGUAAACCGCUUUUCGGGGGGACGAUGAUGACGGUACCCCCGGAACAAGCCCCGGCUAACUCUGUGCCAGCAGCCGCGGUAAGACAGAGGGGGCGAGCGUUGUCCGGAGUCACUGGGCGUAAAGCGCGCGCAGGCGGUCGCCAAAGUGUCGUGUGAAAGCCCCCGGCUCAACCGGGGGAGGCCAUGGCAAACUCGGCGACUGGAGCGGCGGAGAGGCCCCUCGAAUUGCCGGUGUAGCGGUGAAAUGCGUAGAGAUCGGCAGGAAGACCAAGGGGGAAGCCAGGGGGCUGGCCGCUGGCUGACGCUGAGGCGCGACAGCGUGGGGAGCGAACCGGAUUAGAUACCCGGGUAGUCCACGCCGUAAACAAUGACCACUCGGCGUGCGGCGACUAUUGACGUCGCGGUGCGCCUUAGCUCACGCGCUAAGUGGUCCGCCUGGGAACUACGAGCGCAAGCUUAAAACUCAAAGGAAUCGACGGGGGCCCGCACAAGCAGCGGAGCGUGUGGUUUAAUUCGAGGCAACCCGAAGAACCUUACCCAGGCUUGACAUGACGGUGCAGACGCGGAAACGCGUCGCCUGCGAGGGUCCGU
rnacentral:rRNA from 1 species